rnacentral:rRNA from 1 species
UGGGGAAUAUUGCGCAAUGGGGGAAACCCUGACGCAGCGACGCCGCGUGUGGGAUGAAGGUCUUCGGAUUGUAAACCACUGUCGCGAGGGACGAAGCUCUGACGGUACCUCGAAAGGAAGCACCGGCUAACUCUGUGCCAGCAGCCGCGGUAAUACAGAGGGUGCGAGCGUUGUCCGGAAUCACUGGGCGUAAAGGGCGCGUAGGCGGCCCGGUAAGUAGGGGGUGAAAUCUCAUGGCUCAACUGUGAGGCUGCCUUCUAGACUGCCAGGCUUGAGCACAGUAGAGGCGAGUGGAAUUCCCGGUGUAGCGGUGAAAUGCGUAGAUAUCAGGAGGAAUACCGGUGGCGAAAGCGACUCUCUGGACGGCAACUGACGCUGAGGCACGAAAGCGUGGGGAGCAAACAGGAUUAGAUACCCCGGUAGUCCCUGAGCGGGCUGGCAAGGCGCAU